GACGAACGCUGGCGGCGUGCUUAACACAUGCAAGUCGAACGGAGCACCUCUGAAGGAGUUUUCGGACAACGGAAGGGAAUGCUUAGUGGCGGACUGGUGAGUAACGCGUGAGGAACCUGCCUUCCAGAGGGGGACAACAGUUGGAAACGACUGCUAAUACCGCAUGAUACGUUGGAGCCGCAUGACUCCGACGUCAAAGAUUUAUCGCUGGAAGAUGGCCUCGCGUCUGAUUAGCUAGUUGGUGAGGUAACGGCCCACCAAGGCGACGAUCAGUAGCCGGACUGAGAGGUUGGCCGGCCACAUUGGGACUGAGAUACGGCCCAG
rnacentral:rRNA from 1 species